GCCAGUGUAGUGUAGUGGUCUGAAUAUUGGACUAGGACUCUAGAGAACAGGGUUAAAAUCCCUGCUUUAACC